AGCGAACGUUAGCGGCGGGCCUAACACAUGCAAGUCGAACGCGAAAGGUCUUCGGACUGAGUAGAGUGGCGCACGGGUGAGUAACACGUAGGUAAUCUACCCUUUGGCGGGGGAUAACGUUCCGAAAGGAGCGCUAAUACCGCAUAAGACCACGGAGUCUCCGGACGCUGUGGGAAAAGGUGGCCUCUUCUUGAAAGCUACCACCGAAGGAUGAGCCUGCGUCCCAUCAGCUAGUUGGUAAGGUAAUGGCUUACCAAGGCGAAGACGGGUAGCUGGUUUGAGAGAAUGGAUCAGCCACACUGGCACUGGAACACGGGCCAGACUCCUACGGGAGGCAGCAGUGA
rnacentral:rRNA from 1 species